rnacentral:misc_RNA from 1 species
AAGUCGUAACAAGGUUUCCGUAGGUGAACCUGCGGAAGGAUCAUUACCGAAGUCAAGGCCCCUUCGGGGGCUAAACUUCCACCCUUUGUUUACCUUACCAUUGUUGCUUUGGCGGGCCGCCCUCGGCCACCGGCUCUCGAGCUGGUGCGUGCCCGCCAGAGACCCCCAAACCCAAACCAUAUUUAGUGUCGUCUGAAAACAAGUUUAAAUUAUUAAAACUUUCAACAACGGAUCUCUUGGCUCUG